rnacentral:rRNA from 1 species
UACGAAGGGGGCUAGCGUUGCUCGGAAUCACUGGGCGUAAAGCGCACGUAGGCGGCUUCUUAAGUCAGGGGUGAAAUCCUGGAGCUCAACUCCAGAACUGCCUUUGAUACUGAGGAGCUCGAGUCCGGGAGAGGUGAGUGGAACUCCGAGUGUAGAGGUGAAAUUCGUAGAUAUUCGCAAGAACACCAGUGGCGAAGGCGGCUCUCUGGGACGGUACUGACGCUGAGACGCGAAAGCGUGGGGAGCGAACAGG